rnacentral:rRNA from 1 species
UACAGAGGUCUCAAGCGUUGUUCGGAUUCAUUGGGCGUAAAGGGUGCGUAGGCGGCGCGGUAAGUCGGGUGUGAAAUCUUGGAGCUUAACUCCGAAACUGCAUUCGAUACUGCCGUGCUUGAGGACUGGAGAAGGAGACUGGAAUUUACGGUGUAAGCGGUGAAAUGCGUAGAUAUCGGGAGGAACACCUGUGGCGAAAGCGGCGCACUGGACCAUAACUGACGCUGAGGCGCGAAAGCUAGGGGAGCAAACAGG